rnacentral:tRNA from 1 species
GGGGUCGUAGCUCAGUUGGUAGAGCACCUGCUUUGCAAGCAGGACGUCGUCGGUUCGAAUCCGUCCGGCUCCACCA